GACGAACGCUGGCGGCGUGCCUAAUACAUGCAAGUUGAGCGCUGAAGGUUGGUACUUGUACCAACUGGGUGAGCAGCGAACGGGUGAGUAACGCGUGGGGAAUCUGCCUUUGAGCGGGGGACAACAUUUGGAAACGAAUGCUAAUACCGCAUAAAAACUUUAAACACAAGUUUUAAGUUUGAAAGAUGCAAUUGCAUCACUCAAAGAUGAUCCCGCGUUGUAUUAGCUAGGUGGUGAGGUAAAGGCUCACUAAGGCGAGGCUGCAUAGCCGACCUGAGAGGAUGGGUGGCCACAUUGGGACGGAGACCCGGCACAAACGGCUACGGGAGGCAGCAGGAGGGAAACUGGGGGCAGGGACGAAAGUCCGACCGAGAAACGCCGCGGGAGGGAAGAAGGAUGUCGGAUCGGAAAACUCUGUUGGUAGAGAAGAAAGUUGGUGAGAGUGGAAAGCUCAUCAAGUGACGGUAACUACUCAGAAAGGGACGGCUAACUACGUG
rnacentral:rRNA from 1 species